CAGAUUAUAGAUAGAUAAAGAAUUUUAUUUACAAUAAAAUUAGAAUUGUGCGAAUCAAUUUAAUCUGA
rnacentral:tRNA from 1 species